AUUGAACGCUGGCGGCAGGCCUAACACAUGCAAGUCGAGCGAGCGGCGGACGGGUGAGUAAUGUCUGGGAAACUGCCCGUUGGAGGGGGAUAACUACUGGAAACGGUAGCUAAUACCACAUACCAUCGGAUGAACCCAUAUGGGAUUAGCUAGUAGGUGGGGUAAAGGCUCACCGAGGCGACGAUCCCUAGCUGGUCUGAGAGGAUGACCAGCCACACUGGAACUGAGACACUGCCCAGAGUCCAACGGGAGGCAGCAGUGGGGAAUAUUGCACAAUGGGCGCAAGCCUGAUGCAGCCAUGCCGCGUGUAUGAAGAAGGCCUUAGGGUUGUAAAGUACUUUCAGCGCGGAGGCGUUACCCGCAGAAGAAGAACCGGCUAACUCCGUGCCAGCCGCCGCGGUAAUAA
rnacentral:rRNA from 1 species